AUUGAACGCUGGCGGCAGGCCUAACACAUGCAAGUCGAACGAGUGGCGGACGGGUGAGUAAUGUCUGGGAAACUGCCUGAGGGAGGGGGAUCACUACUGGAAACGGUAGCUAAUACCGCAUACCAUCGGAUGUGCCCAGAUGGGAUUAGCUAGUAGGUGGGGAAAAGGCUCACCUGGGCGACGAUCCCUAGCGGGUCUGAGAGGAUGACAAGCCAACUGGGAAGUGAGACACGGUCAAGACCCCUCGGGGAGGCAGCAGUGGGGAAUAUGGCACAAUGGGCGAAAGCGUGAUGCAGCCAUGCCGGGUGUAUGAAGAAGGCCUUCGGGUUGUAAAGUACUUUCAGCGGGGAGGCGUUCCCACAAGAAGAAGCACCGGCUAACUCCGUGCCAGCAGCCGCGGUAAAC
rnacentral:rRNA from 1 species